CUUUUGUAGGCGGCGAGUCAAGCCUCCUUAAGGUCAGUCACAUGACUUUGUUGUUAUAUGGUCUCGAGGAUAGGGAGAUGAUGGUAUCAUUCAAGGUGAAGACCGUGGUGACGGUCUGAGUGAGGUCGAAAUAGAUCUGCUUUUUCGUUUUGAAGCCCUCCCCCCGCAAAAAAAGGUCCAAAAUUCAAUUUGAAUUCGCAAUCCCAAGCGGCGCAGGAGAGUGACGUCAGCGGCCUCUCUUCUUCUUCAGCCCCCAGUCUCAAUAAUACCCAACUGCAGCCACUGCGACCCCCGAAGCCACUACAAACCACGCCCCAUACAAACCACGCCUCUACAAACUACGCCUACGUGUUGCUACGGUGGCCGGGAAGGACGAUUAAACUCACAGCAGCAAAUGCAAGCAGUCAAAGAAGAAGAAGAAGAAGGCAAAUGCAGCCAAUGCCAGUUCAGAGUCCACAGGACACCGACCACAUGUACAGUAAGAGGCCUUACAGCUUUCCACCCAGAGAGCAUGUUAAUGACUAUAAUGACAGCAUGGACUAACAUGAUGUGGUCACCACAACCAGAGACGUUGGGAUCCUGAGUGAAGACGCAUCUUUCCACAGGCUUGUGGUGAGGACAUGCAAAGGAUCAACAAACAACAAAUCUUAUUUGAUAUACUUAACCAGAAUAAUUACGUUUAACAUCUGAAUGCUGUUUGAUCAAAUUUUAGGAAAGGGCUCAGCAAGCUGAACACCAUAGAAAAGUCACUAGUGACCUUCAUGUAACGUUCAUCACUCAGGAUAACGGUCUACUGCAACAUCUUGAAGUGAGUUUGAAAAUGGAAUUUAAGUCACAUAGUGUAACUAAUUUUGGUCAAAAUAUGUUAAAUGAAUGAUUUAAGUGAAACAUUUUCUGUUAGCCUAGUGUUCGUACAUUUAUUUUGAGCAUUCUCCUAAGAAAUAUAUAUAUUUACAGACGGUCAUCACAUGAAAAGUUACAUCCUCAUGGGCAACAUCAAAGGGCAGGGUGAUCAUUUUCUUUGUGGAGGAUGUGCAGCUGGACAGAGUGCUGGGCUUCUUGACAAGCCUGGUUGAAGCACAGACAACCAGGUGUCACAAUCACGUGGCAUUUGUUAUGGAUGUGCUUCUGCCAGAGGUAAAUUAUGAAACUUUUGUAUUUAUUAUAUUAACAUAUUUUGUAUAAUUGUUAUUAUUGUCAGUCUUUAACUUAUGGUUAAUACCUUGUUAACUGCAACAUGACAGACAACUUAAAUGUCUAAAUGAAAGAUGUCCUUUUGUUCACCUCAUGACACAGGCAACAGUCCACGCCCUUUCAGCUGUCCAUGCAUUUUCCAUUGACAGAGCCACAGAAGUGUAUAAAUGUUGACUGCAGUAUGACUUGAGGUAUGCUACAUACAUAAGGAGAGUGCUAAUACCUAUAAGUAUUGUUUUUUACCUUGUUUAUGACAGCCUUUCCGUGUUAAUUUCCUUUUACUAAUCGCUAUUUUCUUCCAUUUUGUCUCAUCAGUGAAAAACGGCUGUUGGCUCAUUACAUGACAAACAACAUGAGCAAGGAGGCUCUACAGCAACUAGAAACAUAUGCUGAAAAACUCAGAAGAGCUCUGGACUCUGAGGAGUUUUUGAAGACGCUUUAGUAUGUAUGUAGGAUGAAUUAAAAAAUAGUCUGUGAAAUGAUAAUGUUUUAUUUUAUUGCCAAUAAAAGUUGUUGCUGGCUAAUUCAUUUGUCUCAACUUUUGUGUUUUGAGGUACAUAUUUUAAAGACCUGUGUAUGGUCAUAUUUAUAAAUGCAUAAAUACAUUUUAUUUGUGUCCAGCAGUCUUUUCUGUUAACCCAUAAGAAAUCAUCACCUUAGAGUGAUAAUUAUGGCAUCUGAUGUAGUAGGCCAAGCUCUGUGACAGUGUGGCUCUUAGAAAAACGGCUGGUGGAAACAACCUAUUUUAAUCGAAAUGACUACUACUAAUUAUUAUUAUUAUUACUGUAAAUAUUUUAUUUUAUUGAGUUUAAAAUAACCUUGUGCACAUACAUUAGUCACUUAUAUAAAAAAUGAAAAGAUGCAUGCACUAGAUUUAGCAGGCCUAUCUAAUCUUUUAUCAGAUUAAUCUUUUAUCCCAAUCUUUUAUUUUUUUUAUUACUUAACUUUCUAUUUUUGUAUAUAUUUAUUGUUUCAAGCACAUUGUUUGCAUUGAAAAGCAUUUAAUGUUGUGAAUCAACCGUUAAAGUUGUUAAAAAUGAUCUGGUUAUUGCUUUGUUUCCUUUGUGUUUGCUUUCUAAGUGCUCAGGGCCUCCACAGCCACCGUAGUGUUGUAUGGGCGUGUUUUGUAGGGGGCGUGUUUUGUAAUGGGCGUGGUUUGGAGCGGCUCUGGCUUGGCUGCGGCUGCAGCUAGAUCCUUCUCCCCAGUCUGACCGACCGUGCUACGCAUCUACGUUAGGGGGCGGCGGUGUGCUUAUUCGACACUGGAGCAAGAGAAGGGACAAGAGGAGAGUGUGAAGGCUGUGUUGGUAGCAUAGACUGUGGUACAUGUUUUCAGAAACAGCGGGAAAAUCACCACCAUGUCCAGUUCUGUACUGCGGUCAAGCCAACCAUGGUUCGCGUUUGCUUGGUUAAAUCAGCCGCACAUUUUUUUUCCAGUGCGAAAUUCUCUAACAUUUACGGUGAUCGUAAUGAAGCCGCUCUGAAGAGCUGCUGGCAGUGACGGUGGGUCAGACUGCAGACUCACAGUCAGACCCAUGAAACACACACGGUACUUUACAGUCAGUAUUCCCGGUAAUAAACUGAAGGUAUCAGCGCUGGACCGUACGUCGACGUCGCCCCCAUAUUGGAUGUGGCAGCUCAGCCCCGUGAACUAAUACAAGUCAAUGGAGUGAACUUUAUAAAGCGUCUUCUACAAAGUGCUAUAAGCUAAUGUCUCUCUCUCUCCCACACCCACGCACCUGCAGCUGGUCACAAAAUCACCGGCCGCUUUAUAGCCUGGAGCCCCGCCUUUCCGAAACCCCGCUGUUCCGAACAUAGACUUCAAUUCAUCGUAAUGGCGGGGUUUCUCUUUUUUUCAAAGACCCCGCUAUUCCGAAAAGUCUAUUGGGGAAACCCCUCCAUUCCGAAACCCCCCACUCCGAACGGACACAAUCAGAAAGGAAACGGAGGCUGCACAUUUAUCCUUUUUUCCUUUGUGGGUUAAAACGGAUCAUGUGGCUGAUUAACCGCAAAACAAGCCUACUUCAUGCUCAUAAGGCUUCAGCUGGACAAAUGGCUAUGUUGAAUUGAAAUUAUUUAAUCAUGCUAAAUAUCCGAAAUUGUAUGAAAAUUGCUCCAAUGCGUUAUACCGAUCUUCGGACAUAUUCAGACACAGCCUGU
ensembl:lncRNA